UACGGAGGGUGCAAGCGUUGUUCGGAAUUACUGGGCGUAAAGGGCGUGUAGGCGGUUAGGCAAGUCAGGUGUGAAAUCCCUUGGCUCAACCAAGGAAGUGCGCUUGAAACUGCUUAACUAGAGUACAGGAGGGGAAAGUGGAAUUCCCAGUGUAGAGGUGAAAUUCAUAGAUAUUGGGAGGAACACCGGUAGCGAAGGCGGCUUUCUGGCCUGAUACUGACGCUGAGACGCGAAAGCGUGGGGAGCAAACAGG
rnacentral:rRNA from 1 species